rnacentral:rRNA from 1 species
CUACGUGCCAGCAGCCGCGGUAAUACGUAGGGUGCAAGCGUUAAUCGGAAUUACUGGGCGUAAAGAGUGCGCAGGCGGUUUUGCAAGACCGAUGUGAAAUCCCCGGGCUUAACCUGGGAACUGCAUUGGUGACUGCAAGGCUAGAGUGUGUCAGAGGGAGGUGGAAUUCCGCAUGUAGCAGUGAAAUGCGUAGAUAUGCGGAGGAACACCGAUGGCGAAGGCAGCCUCCUGGGAUAACACUGACGCUCAUGCACGAAAGCGUGGGGAGCAAACAGGAUUAGAUACCCUGGUAGUCCACGCCCUAAACGAUGUCUACUAGUUGUCGGGGAUUAAUUUCCUUGGUAACGCAGCUAACGCGUGAAGUAGACCGCCUGGGGAGUACGGUCGCAAGAUUAAAACUCAAAGGAAUUGACGGGGACCCGCACAAGCGGUGGAUGAUGUGGAUUAAUUCGAUGCAACGCGAAGAACCUUACCUGGUCUUGACAU